GACCGUUUCACUACGGAAGGGCUGUAUUUAUUGGAUACCAAAACCAUCCUUCCCUCGGGAAGUUUUGUUUGAUGAUUCACAAUAACUGAUCGGAUCGCCACUGUGGUGGCGACAGGUCAUUCAACAUUCUGCCCUAUCAGCUUUCGAUGGUUGUGUAGUGGACAACCAUGGCCAUAACGGGUAACGGAGAAUCAGGGUUCGAUUCCGGAGAAGGAGCUUGAGAAUUGGCUACUACAUCUAAGGAAGGCAGCAGGCGCGCAAAUUACCCAAUCCCGAUUCGGGGAGGUAGUGACAAAAAAUAACAAUACCGGGCCUUUUUGGGCUUGGUAAUUGGAAUGAGGGAGAGUUAAACGGACCAUCGAGUAUCCAUUGGAGGGCAAGUCUGGUGCCAGCAGCUGCGGUAAUACCAGCUCCAAUAGCGUAUAUUAAAGUUGUUGCAGUUAAAAAGCUCGUAGUUGGACUUGUGUGCGCUGUCCGCGGGUGGCCUGCGCCCAAAAGGGCGUUUCGGUUCGGCCCCGGUGGCGCCUUGAAAUCUGCAGCUGGGGGGACGUUGGCCUUAACUGGUCGGCGACCGCACGCCGGCUGCUCGGUUACUGUGAGAAAAUUAGAGUGUUCAAGGCAGGCAUUGGGUGCAAUUGAAUACAUUAGCAUGGAAUAAUAAAAUAUGGCUCCUGCCGUAUUUUGUUGGUUUUGACUGGUGGGAGUAAUGAUUGAUAGGGACGGUUGGGGGUGCUAGUAUUGAGCGGCCAGAGGUGAAAUUCAUGGAUUCGCUCAAGACUAACUUAUGCGAAAGCAUUCACCAAGGACGUCCUCUUUAAUCAAGAACGAAAGUUGGGGGAUCGAAGACGAUCAGAUACCGUCGUAGUCUCAACCAUAAACUAUGUCGACUUGGGAUCGGCUAGUUUUUUCAUUAAGACACUGUCGGGACCACGGGAGAAAUCAAAGUGUCUGGACUCUGGGGGAAGUAUGGUCGCAAGGCUGAAACUUGAAGGAAUUGACGGAAGGGCACCACCAGGAGUGGAGCCUGCGGCUUAAUUUGACCCAACACGGGGAAACUUACCAGGUCCAGAGAUGUAGAGGAUUGACAGAUUGAAGCUCUUUCUUGAUCACUUCGGUGGUGGUGCAUGGCCGUUCUUAGUUGGUGGAGUGAUUUGUCUGGUUAAUUCCGUUAACGAACGAGACCUCAGCCUGCUAGUGUAGUCGGCUGGAUUGC
rnacentral:rRNA from 1 species